AACGCGAAGAACCUUACCAACUCUUGACAUAGUGGUCGCGCUUUCUAGAGAUAGAUUGCUUCAGUUCGGCUGGACCACAUACAGGUGUUGCAUGGCUGUCGUCAGCUCGUGUCGUGAGAUGUUGGGUUAAGUCCCGCAACGAGCGCAACCCUUAUCGUUAGUUACCAGCGAGUAAUGUCGGGAACUCUAACGAGACUGCCGGUGAUAAGCCGGAGGAAGGUGGGGACGACGUCAAGUCAUCAUGGCCCUUACGGGUUGGGCUACACGCGUACUACAAUGGCGGUCACAAUGGGCGGCAAUAGGGCAACCUGGAGCUAAUCCUUAAAGACCGUCUCAGUUCGGAUUGUGCUCUGCAACUCGAGCGCAUGAAGUCGGAAUCGCUAGUAAUCGUGGAUCAGCAUGCCACGGUGAAUACGUUCCCGGGCCUUGUACACACCGGUAUCUC
rnacentral:rRNA from 1 species